rnacentral:rRNA from 1 species
AGAGUUUUAUCCUGGCUCAGGGCGAACGCUAGCGGCGCGCCUAACACAUGCAAGUCGUGCGGGAAAGGGCUUCGGCCCUAGUACCGCGGCAGACGGGUGAGUAACACGUGAGCAACCUGUCCCCGGGUCUGGGAUAACCACCCGAAAGGGUGGCUAAUACCGGAUAAAGUCACCGGGCGCAAGCUCGGUGAUGAAAGGGGGCCUCUGCAUAGCAAGCUCCUGCCUGGGGAGGGGCUCGCGGCCCAUCAGCUAGUUGGUGGGGUAACGGCCCACCAAGGCUAUGACGGGUAGCCGGCCUGAGAGGGUGGUCGGCCACACGGGCACUGAGACACGGGCCCGACUCCUACGGGAGGCAGCAGUGGGGAAUCUUGGGCAAUGGGCGGAAGCCUGACCCAGCGACGCCGCGUGGGGGAGGAAGGCCUUCGGGUCGUAAACCCCUGUUCUGGGGGAAGAACCCUGAACGGGUUAAUAGCCCGUUCAGGCUGACGGUACCCCAGGAGAAAGCCACGGCUAACUGCGUGCCAGCAGCCGCGGUAAUACGCAGGUGGCGAGCGUUGCCCGGAAUCACUGGGCGUAAAGGGUGCGUAGGCGGCAGGGCAAGUCGCGGGUUAAAGCCCGGGGCUCAACCCCGGAAAGGCCUGCGAUACUGCCUUGCUUGAGGGCCGGAGAGGCUGGCGGAAUUCCCGGUGUAGGGGUGAAAUCCGUAGAUAUCAGGAGGAACACCGGUGGGGAAGCCGGCCAGCUGGACGGUUCCUGACGCUGAGGCACGAAAGCGUGGGGAGCAAACCGGAUUAGAUACCCGGGUAGUCCACGCCGUAAACGAUGGGUGCUAGGUCUGGGGAGGAAACUCUCUGGGCCGAAGCUAACGCGUUAAGCACCCCGCCUGGGGAGUACGGCCGCAAGGCUGAAACUCAAAGGAAUUGACGGGGGCCCGCACAAGCGGUGGAGCACGUGGUUUAAUUCGAUGCAAAGCGAAGAACCUUACCUGGGCUUGACAUGCCAGGGUUGUACCCCGGUGGAAACACUGGGGGAGCGUGGGUUUUUACUCACGCGCUCUGGCACAGGUGCUGCAUGGCUGUCGUCAGCUCGUGCCGUGAGGUGUUGGGUUAAGUCCCGCAACGAGCGCAACC